rnacentral:rRNA from 1 species
UGACGCUGGCGGAUGCCUUACACAUGCAAGUCGAACGGCAGCACUGGGGCAACCCUGGUGGCGAGUGGCGAACGGGUGAGUAAUACAUCGGAACGUGUCCAGUAGCGGGGGAUAACCUCUCGAAAGAGAGGCUAAUACCGCAUACGACCUACGGGUGAAAGAGGGGGAUCGCAAGACCUCUCACUAUUGGAGCGGCCGAUGUCGGAUUAGCUAGUUGGUGGGGUAAAAGCCCACCAAGGCUACGAUCCGUAGCUGGUCUGAGAGGACGACCAGCCACACUGGAACUGAGACACGGUCCAGACUCCUACGGGAGGCAGCAGUGGGGAAUUUUGGACAAUGGGCGCAAGCCUGAUCCAGCCAUGCCGCGUGGGUGAAGAAGGCCUUCGGGUUGUAAAGCCCUUUCGGCUGGGACGAAAAGGUCCGUAUUAACACUACGGAUCCAUGACGGUACCAGCAGAAGAAGCACCGGCUAACUACGUGCCAGCAGCCGCGGUAAUACGUAGGGUGCAGGCGUUAAUCGGAAUUACUGGGCGUAAAGCGUGCGCAGGCGGUCUUUUAAGUCAGAUGUGAAAUCCCCGGGCUUAACCUGGGAACUGCGUUUGAAACUGGAAGGCUAGAGUGUGGCAGAGGGGGGUGGAAUUCCACGUGUAGCAGUGAAAUGCGUAGAUAUGUGGAGGAACACCGAUGGCGAAGGCAGCCCCCUGGGCUAACACUGACGCUCAUGCACGAAAGCGUGGGGAGCAAACAGGAUUAGAUACCCUGGUAGUCCACGCCCUAAACUAUGUCAACUGGUUGUCGGGGAAGCAAUUCCUUGGUAACGAAGCUAACGCGUGAAGUUGACCGCCUGGGGAGUACGGCCGCAAGGUUAAAACUCAAAGGAAUUGACGGGGACCCGCACAAGCGGUGGAUUAUGUGGAUUAAUUCGAUGCAACGCGAAAAACCUUACCUACCCUUGACAUGCCAGGAACCUCGCAGAGAUGUGAGGGUGCCCGAAAGGGAGCCUGGACACAGGUGCUGCAUGGCUGUCGUCAGCUCGUGUCGKAGAG